UACGUAGGGUCCAAGCGUUAAUCGGAAUUACUGGGCGUAAAGCGUGCGCAGGUGGCUUGUUAAGAUCGAUGUGAAAUCCCCGGGCUCAACCUGGGAACUGCAUUGAUGACUGGCUCGCUAGAGUACGGCAGAGGGGGGUGGAAUUCCACGUGUAGCAGUGAAAUGCGUAGAGAUGUGGAGGAACACCGAUGGCGAAGGCAACCCCCUGGGCUGAUACUGACACUCAUGCACGAAAGCGUGGGGAGCAAACAGG
rnacentral:rRNA from 1 species